UAACACUGGUAGUGCGAUUACACAUCCGGGACAUUUACGUGGUGCGGGCUUCAACCAGCCAAAACUCUUCUCGCUGACGCCAUUUUAUUUGAAACGCCACUCGGAGCGACUAAGCGUGUGUUUUUUAACUGGAAGCAUACAGCAUACAUUAUUAUACAGUUAUAAUUGAAGAAGUGCAUGAAUUCGUGUAGCGUUGAGGACGCGCUGCGCGCGCUGAAACUUUUCUCAGACGCCAUUUGUUUCGACUGACCCUGCAGACGAGGCCAGUGCUCAUUUACUGGAAAUGUAGACGUUCGGGCUGCAGAGCAGAUAAGACGGCCUACGUUACAUAUAAACUGGAAAAAACGCAGAAGGUAAGUUAAGUUCUUUAUUUCAUGAAGAUAAGCGUUCCAUAAAUCGAAA